CCCUCGGUGGUCUAGGGGUGUAUGAUUCAUCGAUGCGCGCUUCCAAGCCGCAACCGAUAAGGUCGGGGGUUCGAAUCCCUCCCAUAUGGGGGU